rnacentral:rRNA from 1 species
AUUGAACGCUGGCGGCAUGCCUUACACAUGCAAGUCGAACGGCAGCACGGGAGCAGUCCUGGUGGCGAGUGGCGAACGGGUGAGUAAUAUAUCGGAACGUGCCCAGUCGUGGGGGAUAACGUAGCGAAAGCUACGCUAAUACCGCAUACGAUCUAUGGAUGAAAGCGGGGGAUCGCAAGACCUCGCGCGAUUGGAGCGGCCGAUAUCAGAUUAGGUAGUUGGUGGGGUAAAAGCCUACCAAGCCUUCGAUCUGUAGCUGGUCUGAGAGGACGACCAGCCACACUGGAACUGAGACACGGUUCAGACUCCUACGGGAGGCAGCAGUGGGGAAUUUUGGACAAUGGGCGCAAGCCUGAUCCAGCAAUGCCGCGUGCAGGAUGAGGGCCUUCGGGUUGUAAACUGCUUUGUACGGUAACGAAACGGUUACGUCUCUAAUACAGGGGCGUAAUGACGGUACCGUAAGAAUAAGACACCGGCUAACUACGU